rnacentral:rRNA from 1 species
GACGAACGCUGGCGGCGUGCCUAAUACAUGCAAGUAGAACGCAGUUGCGAACGGGUGAGUAACGCGUAGGUAAGUGCCCAGUAGCGGGGGAUAACUACGCGAAAGCGUAGCUAAUACCGCAUACUAUUGGAGCGGCCGAUAUCGGAUUAGCUAGUGGGUGGGGUAACGGCUCACCAAGGCGACGAUAAAUAGCCGACCUGAGAGGGUGAUAGGCCAACCUGGGAAUGAGACAAGGCCCAGACUCCUACGGGAGGCAGCAGGAUGGAAUCUUCGGAAAUGGAAGGAAGUCUGACCGAGGAACGCCGCGGGAGUGAAGAAGGGUUUCGGAUCGUAAAGCUCUGUUGUUAGAGAAGCGGUAACUAACCAGAAAGGGACGGCUAACUACGUGCCAGCAGCCGCGGUAAUUC